GCCUACGGGAGGCAGCAGUGGGGAAUUUUGGACAAUGGGCGCAAUCCUUAUCCAUCUAUUCCUCUUUUUUUAUUAAGGCCCUCGGGUUGUAAACCACUUUUGUAGAGAACGAAAAGACACCUUCGAAUAAAGGGUGUUGCUGACGGUACUCUAAGAAUAAGCACCGGCUAACUACGUGCCAGCAGCCGCGGUAAUACGUAGGGUGCGAGCGUUAAUCGGAAUUACUGGGCGUAAAGGGUGCGCAGGCGGUUGAGUAAGACAGAUGUGAA
rnacentral:rRNA from 1 species